GACGAACGCUGGCGGCGUGCUUAACACAUGCAAGUCGAACGGAAAGGCCCUGCUUUUGUGGGGUGCUCGAGUGGCGAACGGGUGAGUAACACGUGAGUAACCUGCCCUUGACUUUGGGAUAACUUCAGGAAACUGGGGCUAAUACCGGAUAGGAGCUCCUGCUGCAUGGUGGGGGUUGGAAAGUUUCGGCGGUUGGGGAUGGACUCGCGGCUUAUCAGCUUUUUGGUGGGGUAGUGGCUUACCAAGUCUUUGACGGGUAGCCGGCCUGAGAGGGUGACCGGCCACAUUGGGACUGAGAUACGGCCCAGACUCCUACGGGAGGCAGCAGUGGGGAAUAUUGCACAAUGGGCGGAAGCCUGAUGCAGCAACGCCGCGUGCGGGAUGACGGCCUUCGGGUUGUAAACCGCUUUCGCCUGUGACGAAGCGUGAGUGACGGUAAUGGGUAAAGAAGCACCGGCUAACUACGUG
rnacentral:rRNA from 1 species